rnacentral:rRNA from 1 species
GACGUGACUUCAGAGUUUGAUCCUGGCUCAGAACGAACGCUGGCGGCAGGCUUAACACAUGCAAGUCGAACGCGUGUAGCAAUACACGAGUGGCGCACGGGUGAGUAACGCGUGGAUAUCUGCCUUUUGGUUCGGAAUAACUCCGGGAAACUGGAGCUAAUACCGGAUGGUUCCUACGGGAUAAAGAUUUAUCGCCAAAAGAUGAGUCCGCGUACGAUUAGCUAGUUGGUGAGGUAAUGGCUCACCAAGGCGACGAUCGUUAGCUGGUCUGAGAGGACGAUCAGCCACACUGGGACUGAGACACGGCCCAG